GACGAACGCUGGCGGCGUGCUUAACACAUGCAAGUCGAACGGAAAGGCCCUGCUUUUGUGGGGUGCUCGAGUGGCGAACGGGUGAGUAACACGUGAGUAACCUGCCCUUGACUUUGGGAUAACUUCAGGAAACUGGGGCUAAUACCGGAUAGGAGCUCCUGCUGCAUGAUGGGGGUUGGAAAGUUUCGGCGGUUGGGGAUGGACUCGCGGCUUAUCAGCUUGUUGGUGGGGUAGUGGCUUACCAAGGCUUUGACGGGUAGCCGGCCUGAGAGGGUGACCGGCCACAUUGGGACAGAGAUACGGCCCAGACUCCUACGGGAGGCAGAAGUGGGGAAUAUUGCACAAUGGGCGGAAGCCUGAUGCAGCAACGCCGCGUGCGGGAUGACGGCCUUCGGGUUGUAAACCGCUUUCGCCUGUGACGAAGCGUGAGUGACGGUAAUGGGUAAAGAAGCACCGGCUAACUACGUG
rnacentral:rRNA from 1 species